CAAAACAGAAACGGAGAGGUGGUGAGCAAGGGGUGGUGGUGUAGGGAACAACAUCCUUCUAGUAAUUGUAACUACCUCAACAACUAUAUCGGUUAAGAGUUGUUAAUUGUUUCUUGGUUCAGUCCAUUGGUCUAAUAACAAUAACUUUAGCGCUGAUCCAAUUAAAGAGAUGGCCCAAACAGUAUGAAUUUACCAUUCAGAUUAGAUAUCAUACC
rnacentral:lncRNA from 1 species